GUUCUCAUGCUGUGUUCUUAGUAUUCUGACGUAUUUUGUUUGAUGACAAGUGUCAGAUCAUGAGAUUCAGGAUUCUCCAUGUACGAAAAAGAUGGUAAGCUACUCUGACAUUAGUUUGCCUCUUAUUCUUUAUGGAUUUCUUUUCAAUUUCCUGAUAAAAUAUAGAAAUUCAUGGUUAAUGCAAGUUAUGUUUAAUUAUCUGGGAUAGCUUGCUUCAAGUUCAUAUCAAAAUUUCUAAUUGGGUGAAAACCAAGAAACUUCCAUGCUGUAACUUUUAAGUUUCAACCAUGUAGGUUUAAUUGCCAGAAAUUAUAGAUCGAUAUAUAGUGGCUCAUAAUGUAUCACAACUAUUGUUGUCAUCAAAACAUUAGAGCAAUGUCAAUGGUGGCCUCAUUUUUGCUUUGUAAAUCUUACCGUUACAUGAAAGUGGUUGUCAAGUUAACAGUUGUCAUAUAAUUAUCUCAAGAAACCAUGCGAAAGACCAAAAUUUAAAGGGGGCAGAGACAGAUAUACAGUUGCAUAGUAUAGAAAUUUUCUUGAACAUUUUAGCAGAUUUGUUCUUAAGGAUUGAAUCACUUUGAAGUAGUAAAGCAAAUGAGAAUUGUUGAAAUGGUAGUUCUUUUAUUAUUAUUAUUAUUGAAAUGGUGGUUGUCAUUAAUUUUCUUCCUUUAAUCUAAUAGUUCUUCCUUCUUUACAAUGAGAAGGUGGUCCGGCUUCCCUGUCUUCUCAUCUGGAGGAGUCAACAACUGAGGGAACUUGUCCUAGUACAAGUAUGGUGUUUGAUUUUGACAGAAAUUCAUUUCCUUGUCUUGUGAAGGUGAAUAUGAUCCUUUUCCUUUGGCAAUUGUCUUAACCUUGCUGUCAAAAAUCUUGUGCCUUUCACUCAUUUUAUACCUCUUACCGUGGAUUAUCUCAACACUGCUUCACUUUCCCCAAGAAAGGAUUACGAAACAAACAGGUAAAGAAUUUUUGGUUUGUGCAACUAGAGAUUGACAUCUGUAUUGGUCAUUAUUUUCUUACAAGUUCAUAUGCUUAUGCUCCAGACUGGUGUCUGGAGUUCUGCAGCUAGCUGAGGGCUUACACAUGAUGAUUGAUGAGACACAUUUAAAAGCAGGGACACUCAACUCUGUCAGGGUUGAGAACGCAAGAUUAAUAAAGAAUCUAAUGUAGUUGCAAAAAGUGGAGUAUGAUUUUAAGUACUACAAGAUGGAGAUGGAAGCGGAUGUCCAAUUACUAAUUCUUUCUGAGGGGAAAUCAAACAUCCUGCUGGCUGAUCUGGUUCUUCCUUUCUGUCCAUUGUCCGUGGAGUCCUAUGAAAUUGGGGAUGCAGAAGCUCUGAAAGCUUGGAGAUGGUACUUGGCUAGUCUAAAAUCAUUACCCCAUUCCAUCGAGCCAGACAUGCAAAAGGUAUGAGUUGAUUGUCUCCUUUGGCUAUACAUGAGUAGUUUGUAUUUUAAUAAGAUGGAUUUCCAUUUGCUAGGAAGAAGACAAAUGUAAAUCCUGUGUUCUAAGGGAAUGCAAUUUCCAACUCUAGGACAUGUUGCCACUUAAAACUGACAAAACUGGGUAACCAUGCUGCUGAGCGUAGGGUAGUAUGAGUGAAACGUUAACAGUUGAUGGAGCCCGCGCAAUCAUCAUAACUGUUUCAUGCCAAGGCAAAAGCAUUUGGGUAUUGUUUUGCUUGGCAAUUAAAUAUCAUAUUUGACUUGCUCUUGGGAGCAAAUAUUAAAUUACUUUUACUCUGAAAAUAAUUCUUUCGAAAUUUCAUUACAGGCGCAGGAGAGGGUGAAGACGGUGGGUCUGGUGUGCAGGUCCUAGUUGGAGGCUGUGGCUGGCCCCUAUUGCUGGACCGACAUCUACAUCGAGCAGUGGUGCCGCAGGUCUAACCGCCCCCUUCACCUCGUCGACUCCGCUGCCAGGAAGCUCGUCCGUCGCAACAUAUGCACCUUCACCCGCAUCUCUUCUUACAAGCUCGGCAACUCUGCCUUCUCCUUCAUCGCCAACUGGUUCACAUAUCAAAGAAAGGAAAAAAGAAGAAGAAGAAGUAGAUAGGACAAAUUCAAUGUAAGAAGGCCGUUGGAGUCUACUGAAUUCAAGCUGUACUUCAAUGCAAGUGACCCAUUGAGUGAGCUGUGGCGAAUUGCCUGGAUAAUUCCUGCUUUUUGGACUCUGCUUGCAUUCUCUCUCUUAGUGGUGAUAUGUGUUCUUUGGGCUCCUUCAAGUAACCCAACUAGCUUGUUGGAAGCCAUUGAUCUCAUCCUCCAAGGUGCUCAGAAUCUUGUGUCCAAUUCAAGAAGAAAACUGCAAGAAUCUCCCACAGCUCACAACGGCUGUGAAUUUUGCUGACCCAAGAAGAUGUGAUCAAAUUUAGUCAAAAUUGAAAUGAAAACUUGUGAUUUUAGAGUUGAUAUUUCAAUACAAUUACCAAGACUUUCUGACAUUUAAUGAUCUGCCUUCUGCUUCUCUAUGUACUGUUUGAUGUAUUGGUUGUUAAGAUACAGUUCCAUUAACUAUUGGUAAGCAUAUAUAAUUACCAAGUUAUAAGUGUGUAUAUAUCAUAGAUGAGUAAUAUGGCUUUGAAAUUGGAUGAUUUGUGUAGAUUGUUG